UACGUAGGUGGCAAGCGUUAUCCGGAUUUAUUGGGUGUAAAGGGCGUGUAGGCGGGAGCGCAAGUCAGAUGUGAAAACUCAGGGCUCAACCCUGAGCCUGCAUUUAAAACUGUGUUUCUUGAGUGCUGGAGAGGCAAUCGGAAUUCCGUGUGUAGCGGUGAAAUGCGUAGAUAUACGGAGGAACACCAGUGGCGAAGGCGGAUUGCUGGACAGUAACUGACGCUGAGGCGCGAAAGCGUGGGGAGCAAACAGG
rnacentral:rRNA from 1 species